GAGUCGUGUUGUCUAGUUCGCCACCUGCCCGAAAUUUAUCAAUGGUGGCGUGUUUGCCAGGUACAGCACGUCUGUGAAACCCUUCUAAAACCCUGGGAAAGCAUUAGAACAAGAGAGAACCACCAAAAGGUUUGUGAAAGAACUUCACCCUUCAUCUUUGCGACUACAGAGCAGCAUGUCUAUUUUCUCGUGCUCCCUAUUUUUCCUCCCUCGAAGCGCCUUUUCUCUCAAUCUUAAAGGUAAGCAGAGGGCAUCUGGCUUUUGCAGAAAUUCACGGAUUGUGAGCCGUAUUGUCGUCAGGGCUGGGCCAAAGCGGGUAUCUUUUGACAAAGAAUGCAGAGAGAGCUUACAAGCGGGUAUCGACAAGUUGGCUGAUGCUGUUUCUAUUACCAUAGGACCCAAAGGUCGCAAUGUUGUUCUUUCCGAGUCUGGAAAGCUAAAAGUCAUUAAUGAUGGUGUAACAAUAGCGCGGGCCAUAGAACUUCCAGAUUCCAUUGAGAACGCAGGAGCAAUGCUGAUACAAGAGGUUGCAAGUAAAACAAAUGAUUCAGCUGGUGAUGGUACUACCACUGCAAUCAUAUUAGCCCGGGAGAUGAUUAAGUCUGGUUUGUUGGCUGUCACUUUUGGAGCAAACCCUGUUUCUUUGAAGAAAGGAAUGGAUAAGACUGUCAGAGAAUUGGUCAAGGUUAUGAAGAAGAAAAGUUUUCCUGUAAAGGGAAGGGAUGAUAUAAAAGCUGUGGCUUCAAUUUCUGCUGGAAAUGAUGACUUUGUUGGGAAUUUAAUUGCUGAGGCUAUAGGGAGGAUUGGUCCUGAUGGAGUAAUCUCUGUUGAGUCCUCUUCAUCGUCUGAUACAUCUGUGAUAGUUGAAGAAGGAAUGAAGAUCGACAAGGGUUUUAUGUCACCCCACUUCAUUACAAACCCGGACAAAUCUAUUGUGGCGUUUGAGAAUCCUAAAAUCCUUAUAACAGAUCAAAAAAUUUCAACCAUCAAAGAAAUAGUUCCUUUGCUUGAAAAGACUACACAACUGAGUGUUCCUCUUCUAAUUAUUGCCGAGGACAUUUCAAGGCAAGUACUGGAAACACUGUUGGUGAACAAAAUGCAGGGAUUACUUAAUGUUGCAGCAGUCCAAUGUCCAGGAUUUAGAGAAGGAAAGAAGGCUUUGUUGCAAGAUAUUUCCCUUAUGACAGGUGGUGAUUUUCUCUCUGGAGAGUUGGGCAUGACCCUCGAAAGUGCAACCUCAGAUCAGCUUGGUGUCGCACGAAAAGUGACCAUAACAAGUAAUUCAACGACCAUUAUUGCGGAUCCCUCUACUAAAGCAGAAAUUCAGGCAAGAAUAUUGCAAAUAAAGAAAGAUCUAGCUGAAACAGAUAGUGCAUACCUGUCAAGGAAGCUCUCUGAAAGGAUUGCUAAACUAUGUGGAGGUGUGGCCAUAAUUAAGGUAGGGGCACACACUGAGUUGGAACUUGAGGAUCGGAAACUCCGAAUUGAGGAUGCAAAGAAUGCUACAAUUGCUGCCAUGGAUGAAGGGGUGGUUCCUGGUGGUGGGGCUACUUAUGUGCACCUUUCUGCACACAUUCCUUUAAUAAAAAAUUUGAUGGAAGAUCCAGAUGAGCAGAUCGGUGCCGAAAUUGUAGAAAAGGCACUUCUUGCACCUGCAAAAUCAAUUGCAUCUAAUGCAGGAGCUGAUGGAGCAGUUGUAGUGGAGAACAUUCGAGCUCGUGAUUGGAAAUUUGGAUAUAAUGCCAUGACAGGCAAAUAUGAAGAUCUCCUCAAUGCUGGAGUGAUGGAUCCUUGCCGAGUUUCAAGGUAUGCCCUUCAAAAUGCAGUAUCCAUUGCUGGGGUAGUUCUAACAACUCAAGCUGUAUUGGUGGAGAAAACCAAGAAGCCCAAGCCACUUGUUCCUCAUGUUCCUGGAAUUUAUCCUUGAAUAGCAAAGGAGAUGAAAAUCUGUGACGUAUAUGAAAGCUGAGAUACACAAUGAGGAUCUUGGGGUUUGAAGGACGGUUUUGCUUUUCUUCCUCAUAGGCUUUUGUGGCUUGUGCUGCAGUGCUGGUUCUGACUUCAUUGUCACAAUUUGUUGAAAGGCUUAAAUAUCUCUUGCUUCCAUGUUAUUUGAUGGCGAACCAGAUACAGAAGAAAUAGUUCAAAUUCUUGGUUUAGCACAGCUUCAACUUGAAAAAAUUAACCUACAUCUAAUUGCAGGGACAUUGGUGUUCAGAUGGUAAACAUUGGAUCAAAGUUUGAAAGCUCGGGCAUUGAGUGAGGAGUUUUUCAGCAAAGAAAAAGAAGGAUGGGGAUAAACCUCUACAGUGACACUAAAUCUUCUGCUCGACAAUCACAUCAAGUGUUCCACUAUCAGCACAACUUUCAACAUCUUCUACAUAGUUUGCUCUGUCACUGUGUUUAACUGAGUUCAGAAACUACAUCGGCUACUCCACGAUCACAUCAAGUUAAGAGUUCCUACUUUCAACAUCUUCUACUUGGUAACCGCAUCAAGGAAGAGAAAGAAAGACAAACUAGUUGAAGUUGGUGAUUUGUCAAUCUCACUCGAUGGGAUAUUUAUGAUAUCCUAACUUUGUAAUAAUGAUAGAAUUAUAUACAUUUUAAUGCGCAUGUUGCAUGGUAUUAACUA